rnacentral:rRNA from 1 species
AUUGAACGCUGGCGGCAGGCCUAACACAUGCAAGUCGAGCGCGAAAGGCCUUCAGGCUGAGUAGAGCGGCGGACGGGUGAGUAACGCGUAGGAAUCUACCUGGUAGUGGGGGACAACUUGGGGAAACUCAAGCUAAUACCGCAUACGCCCUAUGGGGGAAAGCGGGGGACCUUCGGGCCUCGCGCUAUCAGAUGAGCCUGCGUAGGAUUAGCUAGUUGGUGAGGUAAAGGCUCACCAAGGCGACGAUCCUUAGCUGGUCUGAGAGGAUGAUCAGCCACACUGGGACUGGGACACGGCCCAGACUCCUACGGGAGGCAGCAGUGGGGAAUAUUGCGCAAUGGGGGCAACCCUGACGCAGCCAUGCCGCGUGUGUGAAGAAGGCCUUCGGGUUGUAAAGCACUUUAAGUGGGGAGAAAAGGGUGGCCGUUAAUAGCGGUGACCUGUGAUGUUACCCACAGAAUAAGCACCGGCUAACUCCGUGCCAGCAGCCGCCGUAAAAC